GCUUACGGCCAUACCACCCUGAGCACGCCCCGAUCUCGUCUGAUCUCGGAAGCUAAGCAGGGUCGGGCCUGGUUUGUACUUGGAUGGGAGACCGCCUGGGAAUACCAGGUGCUGUAAGCU
rnacentral:rRNA from 1 species